rnacentral:rRNA from 1 species
UAAAGCAAAUGGCGGAUGCCUUGGUAGUAAGAGCCGAAGAAGGACGCACAUGACUGCGAUAAGCGUCGGGGAGUUGUCACGAAGCGGUGAUCCGGCGGUGUCCGAAUGGGGAAACCCACCACGCUCAGCGUGGGGCUGCGUUCUGAAUUCAUAGGAGCGUAUGCGGGAACCCGGGGAACUGAAACAUCUAAGUACCCGGAGGAAAAUAAAUACAAUUGAGAUUCCGUUAGUAAGCGGUGAGCGAAAGCGGAACAGCCUAAACUUGGGCCGUAAGGCCUAGGGGUUGCAAGGCGCACAAGGGAGUGUUAGCGGUAGUUGAACACCCUGGAAUGGGUGGCCAGAGAAGGUGAAAGCCCCGUAAAUUAAACCAAUGACACCUCGAGCGAAUACCUUAAGUACCACGAAAGACGAAGCUUUUGUGGGAAUCCGGGGGGACCACCCUCCAAGGCUAAAUACUCUUAUUGACCGAUAGUGAACAAGUACCGUGAGGGAAAGGUGAAAAGCAGGGUUAGUGACCCGAUGAAAUAGAACCUGAAACCGUUUGCUAACAAACAGUCAGAGCUUGUGCGGAGCACAAAGGAUAAGAAAUUUAGGAUAAGAGGAACCGAGGAUACGAGUGAUGAGUCAAAAAAAGACUAGUCACUCUUAUCUUCUUAAUCUUCGUUCCUACUCUUCGUAUCUUGCGCGCUUCGCGCGAGUAAUGGCGUGCCUAUUGAAGAAUGAACCAGCGAGUAGUCUUCAUAUGCGAGUCUAAGUUCGCUAAGACGGACGGAGGCGUAGCGAAAGCGAGUCCAAAUAGGGCGUAAAUAAGCAUAUGGCGGCUGACCCGAAACCAGGUGAGCUAAUCAUGAGCAGGGUGAACCUCGAUGAAAAUCGAGGGGAGGCCCGCACCCGUCGUCGCUGCAAGGACGUGGGAUGACUUGUGAUUAGAGGUAAUAUGCCAAUCGAACCUGGAGAUAACUGGUUCUCCCCGAAAGAUAUAUGGGUAUCGCGUCCAUCAAUAACCAAAUGGGGGUAGAGCUACUGGAUGGGUGUUGCUUCGCAAGGAGUGGCAUCCAACCAAACUCCGAAUACCGUUUGGAAUCGGAUGGGCAGUCAGUCCUACACGGCUAAGCGCGUACGGACUAAAGGGAAACAACCCAGACUCUCGUCUAAGGUCUCUAAGUAUCGUUUAAGUGUUGAAGGUAGUGGUAUUCCUCAGACAGCCAGGAGGUUGGCUCAGAAGCAGCCAUCCUUUAAAGAAAGCGUAACAGCUCACUGGUCGACUGGGAUUCUGCGCCGAAAAUUUAUCGAGGCUCAAAUCGAUCACCGAAGACAGAGGUGCUCAUGCUUUGCAUGAGCGCGGUAGGGGAGCGUUGAGAGGGCGGUGAAGUUCUACCGUGAGGUGGGGUGGAGCGCUCUCAAGUGAGAAUGCUGGUAUGAGUAACCAACAGCAAUGUGAGAAUCAUUGCCACCGAAUACCCAAGGUUUCCCACGCACCGUUUUUCGGCGUGGGGUAAGUCGGCACCUAAGGUGAGGCCACAAAGGGCGUAGCCGAUGGACGACCGGUUUAUAUUCCGGUACAGGAGUGAAAUCGUUACGAGUUGGGGAUGGACAAAGAUGGAGGGCUCAGAGUUUGCCUGACCGCAGACUUCUAAACUAUUAAGCAGUUUGGGUAGGAAAACCCUUCCAAACGUUUAACUGAGUAGCGACGGGAAGCCGGGCUGCAAAGCUUGGCAAGUGAAGACCUUUCAACUUUCAAGAAAAUAUCCGCAACCAGAGUUCAUUUCUGCCGUACCGCAAUCCGAAACAGGUGGGUUGGUCGAGUAGACCAAGGUGGUCGGGAGAAGGCGGCUCAAGGAACUCGGCAAAAAAGCUGGGCGUAAGUUCGCAAGAUGCCCUGCCAUGUUCAGUUACAUGAACGUGGCCUCAGCAAAAGAUUAUUCAGCGACUGUUUAACUAAAACACCGGCCUCUGCAAAACCGAAAGGUACAGUAUAGGGGCUGACGCCUGCCCACUGUCAGAAGGUUAAGGGGAUGCCUGACUCCGCAAGGAGAGGGGUUGAACCGAAGCCCUGAUGAAGGGCGGCUUUAACUAUAAGAGUCCUAUGGUGGAGUUCCGACCCGCACGAAAGGCGUAACGACUGAAUAACUGUCUCGAGCCGUCCCCCGGUGAAAUUGAAAUGGCUGUGAAGAUGCGGCCUAGAUGUACUAGGACAAAAAGACCCCGUGGAGCUUUACUGCAACUCGGCACUGUAUCGUUUAUUUUUCUUGUUUAGCGUAGGAGGGAGCCGAAAGGCGAGCAUGAAACACCUCCCGGAAGAGUAGGCGAGACUUACCUACAGACCCUGAAUACGGGUUUGGGGACCGUGCUUGGUGGGCAGUUUUACUGGGAUGGUAUCCUGCAAAAGAGUAACGCAGGAGUUCAAGGGUUGGCUCAGUACGGAUGGAAAUCGUACGCAGAGUGCAACGGCAUAAGCCAGCUUGACUGUGAGGCGGACACGCCGAGCAGGCACGAAAGUGGGACGUAGUGAUCCCCCGACACAUCGUGGGAUGGUCGGGGCUUAACGGAUAUAAGCUACCCCGGGGAUUGCGGUUUGGCACCUCGAUGUCGGCUAUGCGUAUAGAUUGGUUGCGUCCUAUCCUGGGGGCGGAGAAGCUCCCAAGGGUCCGGCUGUUCGCCGGUUAAAAGGGCACGCGAGCUGGGUCAGAACGGCGUAAGCCAGUUCGGCCUCUAUCCAGUACAUCCGUUCGAUUCUUGAGGGGAGCUGAUGGCAGUACGAGAGGACCCCGUUGGAGCGACCCCUGGUGUGCCGGUUGUCCUGUCAAGGGCAGCGCCGGGUAGCUAUGUCGCUAAGGGAUAAUCGCUGAAAGCAUCUAAGCGAGAAGCCCACCCCAAGAUUAGGAAUCGUUUCCGUCGCAAGGCGGAUGAAGACCCGUUGUAGACUACGACGUUCCCGCAAGGGAUCCCAAGCGCAAGCGAGGGAAAUCGGCUGGCGGUGUAAGGCCCGUAAGGGUUUUAGCCUACCAGUGCGAAUCGGUCGA